rnacentral:rRNA from 1 species
GGGGAAUAUUGGGCAAUGGGCGCAAGCCUGACCCAGCAACGCCGCGUGAAGGAUGAAGGCCUUCGGGUUGUAAACUUCUUUGAUCAGGGACGAAAAAAAUGACGGUACCUGAGGAACAAGCCACGGCUAACUACGUGCCAGCAGCCGCGGUAAUACGUAGGUGGCGAGCGUUAUCCGGAUUUACUGGGUGUAAAGGGCGUGUAGGCGGGCUGACAAGUCGGAUGUGAAAUUCCCGGGCUUAACCCGGGCGGGUCAUCCGAAACUGUCGGUCUUGAGUACUGGAGAGGAUAGUGGAAUUCCUAGUGUAGCGGUAAAAUGCGUAGAUAUUAGGAGGAACACCAGUGGCGAAGGCGGCUAUCUGGACAGUAACUGACGCUGAGGCGCGAAAGCGUGGGGAGCAAAC